AAAUUGAAGAGUUUGAUCAUGGCUCAGAUUGAACGCUGGCGGCAGGCCUAACACAUGCAAGUCGAACGGUAACAGGAAGAAGCUUGCUUCUUUGCUGACGAGUGGCGGACGGGUGAGUAAUGUCUGGGAAACUGCCUGAUGGAGAGGGAUAACUACUGGAAACGGUAGCUAAUACCGCAUAACGUCGCAAGACCAAAGAGGGGGACCUU
rnacentral:rRNA from 1 species